UACGUAGGUGGCAAGCGUUGUCCGGAUUUACUGGGCGUAAAGAGCGCGCAGGCGGUCGAUUUAGUCGCGUGUGAAAGCCCCCGGCUCAACUGGGGAGGGUCACGCGAUACUGAUCGACUCGAAGGCAGGAGAGGGUAGUGGAAUUCCCGGUGUAGUGGUGAAAUGCGUAGAUAUCGGGAGGAACACCAGUGGCGAAGGCGGUUCUCUGGGCAUUCCCUGACGCUGAGGAGCGAAAGUGUGGGGAGCGAACAGG
rnacentral:rRNA from 1 species